UCAGAACGCAGCAGGCAUCCAUGCUUUUGUGGGGAUCCGUGGGCUGAGAAGCGCCGCGUGCGGGUCUCUCUGGGCCAGAGCCAGCUAACUUGGCCUACACUUAUGGUCGCCAGGAGGCGCUCCUCUUCUCCCAGGGUUCUGCAGAGUCGAGAUCUGCCUAAAGGUGGAACAUCUUGAUGAAGCAUUUCAAAUUUGACCUAUAACCAUUCUGAGAUACAUAAUGGUAAUCUCACAAAUGCUAAAACAAUUCAACUGAAUUUAGACAAGUUAUCCAUACACUGUAACAGGAGUGUGAAAAACUCUGCUGUAGUUCCAGUUUUCACCAAGAAGUCAAGAGCUUGUGUCAAUCCACAUGGCUGCUGUCUAGGUCCUGGCUCAGACCACCUCUGGUGUGAGCUCCCAGGCCCUCUGUUGUGGACUCUCUCAUCAACUGGUCCCCAGGGAGACCCUGGAGCCUCUCAGGUGGGCUGCCCACUCAGGCCCCGUGACACCUGCCCCUGGUACUUAUCUCAGGGAAGGUAGGCCAGCCAGUGUCACCCUGAACAGGCCUCACACCUGGGGAGAGGCAGAUCACUAAAUUUGGGGAAGAAUGCCUGGCAUAUCCUCCCACAGAGCACAUAAGUCUCUGCCUCCCCUGCUAGCCAACAGUCUCCACCACCUCUAAGGGCAGCUACCUGGAGCCAAGACUUACCCUUCCUCCACCCCUGCAGUCUGAAGUUCAAUGGGCAAGUGCAUUUGACCAGACUACAGCCAGCCUCUACCAAUAGAAAGUAAUCAUUUGGCCCCUUGUUUACCUUUUCUCAAUCUGUUCAAAAGUUAAGAGAGGUGCUACCUGAUGAACAAACAUGGGUUCCAGGUGUGACAGCAAGCCAGGAGAGGCUGAGCUACCCCCAUGACCUCCCACCAGAGGAAUCUGACCUCUAACACUCUAACCUUGUGAGUGGCCUUGGGUGAGUCAUUGUCCUCUUCAUUUUCUUACCUGGCAGAGACUAACCCUGCUGGGUUCUCUAGGAGAAAGGAUGGAAAGUGUGUGCACGUGCCUGCAGGAGCACAGCAUGCUACGGCCAGUCCGGUGCAGCUGGGGAACCAGGCACUAACUUGAGUACAGAGCAGCCACCACCUAAUUUGGUUGUCCCCCUUUUCUGGCUCCUGGUUUUGAGGGCAUUUACUGUGUGUCUGCCCUAUACGAAGAAAUCGCUGCACACUUCACCAAAGAAAUCUUACAUUUAAUUGUGAUAAAUGUUAAAGUGGCAUAAAUGAACAUGCUUCUUAGUGAAAAUACAACAGCACCUCGCUCUUGUUUUCUUUAACAAUAAGCCAUUUUACUUACUCCCAAACAACCCACCAUGCCUAAGUCCUGGAUGCAUGUAUUGCUGUUUUCAAUGUGUAAUGUAGUUCCAUGUGAACCCAUGUGCAUCUUUUUGUUAACAAAAGCUAUGUCUCUUUGUUGGGAUAUGUUAUUAAAG